GUUUGGGGUUUCAAAACAUCAAAUUUUUUUGCUCUAUAUCAUUUCUUAUACAAAUGCAAUGCAUACCAUUGAGGAAUCUUUGUAUAGAUGAUCAUAAACCAUGAAAUAACAAAACUUCAAAACGAAUUGUAAGUAUUCCCUUUACCGUUCAUUAAAGUGUAUAAGUGUUUCUCUUAUGUUGUGGGGAUUUCGUUCAUACAAUCGGAAAAGUGUUUAUUAUAGGGUAAGAAACAAACUUUUGACUUCAUAAUCAGUCUAAGACACUUAAUAAGGGUUAUAUAAGUGUUAUUCAAACCGCAAAACGUUGUUUUCGGUUUAAAAACCCUACUUCCUCGGAAUUUCCUCGGAAUAUUCCGAGGAAAUUCCGAGGAACACAUUGUUCCUCGGAAUUUCCUCGGAAUAUUCCGAGGAAAUUCCGAGGAACACAUGUUUGGGGUUUCAAAACAUCAAAUUGUUUUGCCCUAUAUCAUUUCUUAUACAAAUGCAAUGCAUACCAUUGAGGAAUCUUUGUAUAGAUGAUCAUAAACCAUGAAAUAACAAAAUUUCAAAACGAAUUGUAAGUAUUCCCUUUACCGUUCAUUAAAGUGUAUAAGUGUUUCUCUUAUGUUAUGGGGAUUUCGUUCAUAUAAUCGGAAAAGUGUUAUAUAAGUGUUA